UUGAACGCUGGCGGCAGGCCUAACACAUGCAAGUCGAACGGUAACAGGAAGAAGCUUGCUUCUUUGCUGACGAGUGGCGGACGGGUGAGUAAUGUCUGGGAAACUGCCUGAUGGAGGGGGAUAACUACUGGAAACGGUAGCUAAUACCGCAUAACGUCGCAAGACCAAAGAGGGGGACCUUCGGGCCUCUUGCCAUCGGAUGUGCCCAGAUGGGAUUAGCUAGUAGGUGGGGUAAAGGCUCACCUAGGCGACGAUCCCUAGCUGGUCUGAGAGGAUGACCAGCCACACUGGAACUGAGACACGGUCCAGACUCCUACGGGAGGCAGCAGUGGGGAAUAUUGCACAAUGGGCGCAAGCCUGAUGCAGCCAUGCCGCGUGUAUGAAGAAGGCCUUCGGGUUGUAAAGUACUUUCAGCGGGGAGGAAGGGAGUAAAGUUAAUACCUUUGCUCAUUGACGUUACCCGCAGAAGAAGCACCGGCUAACUCCGUGCCAGCAGCCGCGGUAAUACGGAGGGUGCAAGCGUUAAUCGGAAUUACUGGGCGUAAAGCGCACGCAGGCGGUUUGUUAAGUCAGAUGUGAAAUCCCCGGGCUCAACCUGGGAACUGCAUCUGAUACUGGCAAGCUUGAGUCUCGUAGAGGGGGGUAGAAUUCCAGGUGUAGCGGUGAAAUGCGUAGAGAUCUGGAGGAAUACCGGUGGCGAAGGCGGCCCCCUGGACGAAGACUGACGCUCAGGUGCGAAAGCGUGGGAAGCAAACAGGAUUAGAUACCCUGGUAGUCCACGCCGUAAACGAUGUCGACUUGGAGGUUGUGCCCUUGAGGCGUGGCUUCCGGAGCUAACGCGUUAAGUCGACCGCCUGGGGAGUACGGCCGCAAGGUUAAAACUCAAAUGAAUUGACGGGGGCCCGCACAAGCGGUGGAGCAUGUGGUUUAAUUCGAUGCAACGCGAAGAACCUUACCUGGUCUUGACAUCCACAGAACUUUCCAGAGAUGGAUUGGUGCCUUCGGGAACUGUGAGACAGGUGCUGCAUGGCUGUCGUCAGCUCGUGUUGUGAAAUGUUGGGUUAAGUCCCGCAACGAGCGCAACCCUUAUCCUUUGUUGCCAGCGGUCCGGCCGGGAACUCAAAGGAGACUGCCAGUGAUAAACUGGAGGAAGGUGGGGAUGACGUCAAGUCAUCAUGGCCCUUACGACCAGGGCUACACACGUGCUACAAUGGCGCAUACAAAGAGAAGCGACCUCGCGAGAGCAAGCGGACCUCAUAAAGUGCGUCGUAGUCCGGAUUGGAGUCUGCAACUCGACUCCAUGAAGUCGGAAUCGCUAGUAAUCGUGGAUCAGAAUGCCACGGUGAAUACGUUCCCGGGCCUUGUACACACCGCCCGUCACACCAUGGGAGUGGGUUGCAAAAGAAGUAGGUAGCUUAACCUUCGGGAGGGCGCUUACCACUUUGUGAUUCAUGACUGGGGUG
rnacentral:rRNA from 1 species